CUUGGUUGUCUUUUAUUAAAUGAUUCUUUUUAGAGCUUUCUUUUUUGCUUCGGCAUUUUAGGAGAUCUUGUUACUUUGAGUAAAUUAGAGUGUUCAAAGCAAACAGAUUAUAGCAUCUUUAUGCGUUUGAAUACUACAGCAUGGAGUAACAAAAUUGAACAAAUGAAAAUUUUGGUCGAAUUUGCCUUUUGGCUUAAAAACAAUUAAUAGGAGUAGCUAAGAGGCAUAUGUAUUCAGAUGUCAGAGGUGAAAUUCUUAGAUUUUCUGGAGACAAACAACUGCGAAAGCAUUUGCCUAAAAUACUUCCAUUAAUCAAGAACGAAAGUUAAGGGAGUGAAGACGAUCAGAUACCGUCGUAAUCUUAACCAUAAACUAUGCCGGACUUAGGCCUUUGGGGGAAAU
rnacentral:rRNA from 1 species